UACGGAGGGUGCAAGCGUUAAUCGGAAUUACUGGGCGUAAAGCGCACGCAGGUGGCUGAGUCAGUCGAUUGUGAAAGCCCUGGGCUUAACCUGGGAAUUGCAGUCGAUACUACUCAGCUAGAGUAUGGGAGAGGGUAGUGGAAUUCCCGGUGUAGCGGUGAAAUGCGUAGAUAUCGGGAGGAACAUCAGUGGCGAAGGCGGCUACCUGGCCCAAUACUGACACUCAAGUGCGACAGCGUGGGGAGCAAACAGG
rnacentral:rRNA from 1 species